AUUGAACGCUGGCGGCAGGCUUAACACAUGCAAGUCGAACGAGUGGCGGACGGGUGCGUAAUGCUUGGGAAUCUGGCUUCUGGAGGGUGAUAACGACGGGAAACUGUCGCUAAUACCGCGUACCAUCGCCUUCGCCCCAGUGGGAGUAGGUAGUUGGUGGGGUAAUGGCCUACCAAGUCGACGAUCCCUAGCUGGUCUGAGAGGAUGACCAGCAAAACCGGGACUGAGACACGGCCCGGAAGCCUAAGGGAGGCAGCAGUGGGGAAGAUUGCGCAAUGGGGGCAACCUGACGCAGCCAUGCCGCGUGAAUGAAGAAGGCCUGAGGGUUGUAAAGUUGUUGCGGUGACGAGGCGUUAAUCACAGAAGAAGCACCGGCUAAAACCGUGCCAGCAGCCGCGGAAAUUC
rnacentral:rRNA from 1 species